AUGUCGACGCUGAUCACGAAGGACACCAGCAUGUUGAGGAUGAAGUACAUAACGCAGGCAAUGAGGAUGACCAAAACAUGGAAUCCGUACACAAAGCGGCAGCUGCAAGUUCAAAUUUUCUGUCUAUGCGCCACCGGAAGGCAGCCCACGGCCGCAGCAGUAGCACGCCUCGCCACCAUCCUCAGCUUCGGGGACCACGCCGAGGAGGGCGCCGACGCCUUCCCGGAGCCGCAGUUGGACUACCAGCAAGAACACGACGACGACGACGCGGCGUCGGACACCAGUGGCGACAGCUUCGAGUUCGCGUUCACGCGGCCGCUGGCGCCGGCGGGCGGGGAGGCGCUGGCCGACAACCUCUUCGCGCACGUCCGCAUCCUCUCGGCCUACCCGGUCUUCCAUCGCCGCUAG
rnacentral:rRNA from 1 species